rnacentral:rRNA from 1 species
CCUGGAAACAGAUGCUAAUACCGGAUAACAACACUAGACGCAUGUCUAGAGUUUAAAAGAUGGUUCUGCUAUCACUCUUGGAUGGACCUGCGGUGCAUUAGCUAGUUGGUAAGGUAACGGCUUACCAAGGCAAUGAUGCAUAGCCGAGUUGAGAGACUGAUCGGCCACAUUGGGACUGAGACACGGUCCAAACUCCUACGGGAGGCAGCAGUC